GAUAAGAAAAUAACUAAUUUGAUUUUAAAUACAAUUUUCCAAAUUCAAUUCAAAGAAUAAUUGAUCACCUUAUAAUCUGUUAUUUCUUUAAACAGAUAAAAGAUACAUCAGAUGACAGACUUACAUAUAGAGGAGCCUAUAAUUAAAGAAAUGGAUCAACUUGAUGUUGAAGUUAACCUACUGCAUUAAUAUGAACAUUCAUAAGUGAGUACCAGUAUCUCUUAAAGUACAUUUUUUACAUGUUUAUCUUUAUUUUGAUAAAGUACCAUAUGAGAUAAAGUAUGUGAAAUCUAAAUCCUGUAAAUAUACUAGACAUUACAUCAGUACAUAAUGUAAAUCAGAAUAAGAAUGCAUAACAAAUGAAUUGUUAAACAUUUUAAUAUGACCAGUGUCAGCUUAAUUUAAGAAAAAUUAAAACACAGAUGACACACAAUAAAAAAUUAAUGAGACCAAGUGUGAUUUCCAGAUAUGCAAGAAGGGUUUUAAUCUCUCACUACAAAUGUAUUUGAAGUCCUGAAUGUGAAAUCUUCUAAAAAAUUAUACUAAACUUCAAAUAUGUGUACUUGAAUAUAUGUAUAUAAUAUUAAAAUUCAUCUUAUUUAAUAUAAUUAAUUUAAAACAUUUUCAAGCAAAAAACUGAUGUAUAAAUGUAUAGCUUGACUUUUUCUUUAUUUGUUUUCAGGUGACUGAGCUAAAAGAAAAUCACACAUGAAACUGUAACCAGUUUGGGAGACUCGUACAACAGAACAUUUCAAUACCUAUUAAGUUUUUUAUGUAUAUGUUUGACUUUUGGUAAUAUUUUGGAAGUUACUUUAGUAAUUGAGAGACCUCAAUGUUGAAAAUGACAAUUUUGAUAGAGGACAAUUUUAAGAAUAUCAACUUAGUUGUUUGUGGAUCUUUAUCUUUUAAAAUAUUACUGGGUGUCUGAAAGAAUAUUUCAAAUUUUUCUGAAACUAUUUAGAUAUUUAUCAUGUUUCAUGUGUUUAUAUAGGCAAAUAUUUAUACAUGUCAUUUAUGUUAUGCAAGGGUUUAUAUGAAUUUCUAAAAAGAUGUAUAUAUGUGUUGAUAAAAUAAGUUCCAAAUUAUUACAGAGUAACAGAAAAUGGGAUCAAUUUAUAUUAAAACAGAUCUGUUAAAAGGAAAUGAAAAGUCA
rnacentral:lncRNA from 1 species